GAUGAACGCUCGCUCCAGGCUUAACACAUGCGAGUCGAGGGGAAACGACAUCGAAAGCUUGCUUUUGAUGGGCGUCGACCGGCGCACGGGUGAGUAACGCGUAUCCAACCUGCCCAUCACUUGGGAAUAACCUUGCGAAAGUAAGACUAAUACCCAAUGAUAUCCCACGAAGGCAUCGGAAUGGGAUUAAAGAUUUAUCGGUGAUGGAUGGGGAUGCGUCUGAUUAGCUUGUUGGCGGGGUAACGGCCCACCAAGGCAACGAUCAGUAGGGGUUCUGAGAGGAAGGUCCCCCACAUUGGAACUGAGACACGGUCCAAACUCCUACGGGAGGCAGCAGUGAGGAAUACUGGUCAAUGGGCGAGAGCCUGAACCAGCCAAGUAGCGUGCAGGAAGACGGCCCUAUGGGUGGUAAACUGCUUUUAUAAGGGAAUAAAGUGGGUCACGUGUGACUUUUUGCAUGUACCUUAUGAAUAAGGACCGGCUAAUUCCGUG
rnacentral:rRNA from 1 species